CGUGUAGGCGGUUGAUCAAGUCUGAUGUGAAAGCCCGGAGCUUAGCUCCGGAAGUGCAUUGGAAACUAGCCAGCUAGAGCGCGAUAGAGGAGGGUAGAAUUCCUGGUGUAGCGGUGAAAUGCGUAGAUAUCAGGAGGAAUACCGGCGGCGAAGGCGGCCCUCUGGCUCGUUGCUGACGCUGAAACGCGAAAGCGUGGGGAGCAAACAGGAUUAGAUACCCUGGUAGUCCACGCUGUAAACUAUGAGUACUAGAUGUUCGGGGUGUUGACCCCCUGAGUGUCGCAGCUAACGCAUUAAGUACUCCGCCUGGGGACUACGGCCGCAAGGUUAAA
rnacentral:rRNA from 1 species